UAAAGCUCUGUUAAUCGGGACGAAAGGCCUUCUUGCAAAUAGUGAGAGGGAUUGACGGUACCGGAAUAGAAAGCCACGGCUAACUACGUGCCACCAGCCGCGGUAAUACAUAGGUGGCAAGCGUUGUCCGGAAUUAUUGGGCGUAAAGCGCGCGCAGGCGGAUGGGUCAUUCUGUCUUAAAAGUUCGGGGCUUACCCCCGUGAUGGGAUGGAAACUGCCAAUCUAGAGUAUCGGAGAGGAAAGUGGAAUUCCUAGUGUAGCGGUGAAAUGCGUAGAUAUUAGGAAGAACACCAGUGGCGAAGGCGACUUUCUGGACGAAAACUGACGCUGAGGCGCGAAAGCCAGGGGAGCGAACGGGAUUAGAUACCCCGGUAGUCCUGGCCGUAAACGAUGGGUACUAGGUGUAGGAGGUAUCGACCCCUUCUGUGCCGGAGUUAACGCAUUAAGUACCCCGCCUGGGGAGUACGACCGCAAGGUUGA
rnacentral:rRNA from 1 species